rnacentral:tRNA from 1 species
GCCACUGAGGUGAUGCGGAUUCACACUUACUUUUAAUCAGUAGGUCUCGGGUUCGAACCCCGACGCUCUCACCA